rnacentral:rRNA from 1 species
UACGGGGGGAGCAAGCGUUGUUCGGAUUUACUGGGCGUAAAGGGCGCGUAGGCGGUCAGCACAAGUCAAUUGUGAAAUCUCCGAGCUUAACUCGGAAAGGUCAACUGAAACUGUGCGACUAGAGUGCGGAAGGGGCAACUGGAAUUCUCGGUGUAGCGGUGAAAUGCGUAGAUAUCUGGAGGAACACCGGUGGCGAAGGCGGCAUCCUGGACCGGCAUUGACGCUGAGGCGCGAAAGCUAGGGGGAGCAAACGGG